rnacentral:lncRNA from 1 species
GUCUUUGGCCAUCUAAGCUGAUGUGGCAAUAUGGUUUAGGAGGGAAUCCAUUCUCAAUACACUAAAUCUUUAAUCCACGCGGGAUCCGUUUUUGUUCGGGUCAUUUGAUACCCGUGUUUUCGGAUAUAUAUAAAAUCCACAGAGACAACUUUCUUUCCUAUUCUCCCUGUAAACCCUAACCAAAAACUUCAUCGCCGCUUUCAUUUUUGUGGCAAUCAGAGGUAACAUAGUUGGAUUCAAGCGAUGUUGGUUUGAUAUGCCGACCAUGAUUCAUCGCCGCUGAUGCUUUCUGAUUAUCCUACUGGUAAAGUUCACCGAUGAUGGUGGUUCUGCUUUCUCAUUCAUCCAAUCCUAUUGAUUGCUGCUUCACGGUUUUAGGUAAGAGAUUUAUGGCGAUUUGAUGAACAUUUCUGCUUCUUGGUGUUCUGGUAAGAGAUUCAUUACGCUUCAUCAUUUUCUUUCAUUCGGAAUGUUCUGCAAAGGUAAGCAUUAGGGUCGUUUUUUUAUUUCUUCAAUUAGGGCUUCAUUUUCUUAUGAUUAAAUUCUUCUGUUCGUUUAUGUUACAUAUAUAUGUGUCUUAAUUGCCAGGCUACGAGCAAAUGUAAGGGUUUUGAAGAACAUGAAAUUAGGGUUUAGUACUGAUUAGUACCGAUUUGGAUAUGGAAUUAAUUUUAAAUUAAUCCAGUAAUUCAAUCCCUUGAAUCAAAUAUAGAUAUUUAUCAUAUUCUGAUAUUCAUCUUAUCGUUAAUGAGAUGAAUGCUUGGAUUUCAAAAUUCGGUUUCAUUUAGUUAGCGUAACAAGAUAAUUUGCUUAAUGAAAAGUGAGAAGGAAAAGAAGUGAUAGGGUAACUGAAGGAUCUAUUACUAUUGUCCAUUCCAUUUCCGUCUAUUUCCGUGUCUUUUUCAUUCUUAUUACAUAUUUAUAUGUCACUGAACGAUGGGAUAAUGUAUCUAGAGACCAUGCGUUUUUUCAAACAAAUUUGUUAAGGCGACCCAUAUUAAGAAAAAACAACUUUAUUGGCCACAAAAGUUUGUAUAUGUUUUUGUAUAUACCAAUUCCGCAAAACUAAUACUGGAAUAAUAUAAAAUGACAAAAACACCCCUAUUUUUUUACAAACUAAGUUAGUAUCGUAUAAUGAUCGAAAUCUGAAAAGCCACCCUUCUAUCAUUUCUAAGAAGAGAAAUAUGCAUUGUAAUGAAGGAUGUUUUAAGAGUUUUUUUAAAGUUAGAACUGUUUUAGCCAUUUUAUGAUUUUCCGGCACAAAUGUGACCUCAAUUUCUAUAAAGAAAAAAAGUACAUAUUUUCCUGUCAUGUAAGAUUGUUAUUACAAACAGGUCGCCUUAAUGAAAGUCAAUACUUGGAUAGCCUUCACACAUAUUAACUGUGUAUUAACUGUAUAACAUGCUUCAGCUGAUCGUCUUCUUCAUUGCAUUUUAUCUGAUUAACUACUAUUAUGUAUGUGGAAUCGUGGACUGCAAAAAUGGUAUUAGUUUUUUAGAUUUUAAGCUAAAGUAGCAGCCGAAGGUUUAUAAUCCAGUUUCCUUUGCAUUCAUAUAUACUAUCUUCUAUAAAAUUUGAAGAUUAAUGGGCUUUUGUUAAAUUAGCAGCUUUAUUUAAUGGGCUUUUGUGGAAUUAUGGAAUUAUCAUCGAUGAAAAUCAUUGUCCAUCAUUCUACAGCGGUUUUUUAUUUUUUAUUUUGAGUUAUAUAAUCUGCACAUCCUUUCAUGAACUAUCAUGCUUUUGUUUUAUGCAUGAAUUAUCAUACCGUUGUUUUAUGCUUUUCAAGACUCAUAUAAUCCGAUUUGGGUUCCUUAAUCGACAGAUUUGAAGCUCUUUGGGUUUUGGUCAAAGUUGUCAUAUAUACAAUCAAUGAGAUUCAUAUUCAUCGAUCGAUUAAAGAGGAAGAGUACAUCAUCAAAUUGAAGGUAUGAGUUAUGGAUUCCAGUUCUGUUAGUAAUCCUUUCAAAAUGUAUUCAUAUACAGAUUACUGACAACUAUAAAGUUGAUUCCUCUUCACUUUUUGUUGUGUUGGGGAAUUAGGGUUAUGGAACUAUAAAGUGGUAUGAUUUAAUCAUACCAUGUUGUCAUACACAUUUUGAUAGUAAUCCUUUCAAAACUUUAGCAUUUUGAUAUGACAAAUGUUAACUCAUACUAUAAAGUGGUUGAUUCCUCUUCCCUUUUUGCCAUGUGUUUAACAACAUGGUAUGAUUUAUUAAAACUUUGUUUUUUUGU